UUUCCGUAGGUGAGCCUGCGGAAGGAUCAUUACUGAGUUAGGGCCCUCUGGGUCCAACCUCCAACCCGUGUUUAUUGUACCUGGUUGCUUCGGUGAGCCCGCCUCACGGCCGCCGCGGGGCAUCUGCCCCCGGGCCCCCGCUGGCCUAAUACACCCUUGAACGCUGUCUGAAGUUUGCAGUCUGAGCGAAAACUAAAUCAGUUAAAACUUUCAACAACGGAUCUCUUGGUUCCG
rnacentral:misc_RNA from 1 species